rnacentral:rRNA from 1 species
UACGAAGGGGGCUAGCGUUGCUCGGAAUCACUGGGCGUAAAGGGUGCGUAGGCGGGUCUUUAAGUCAGGGGUGAAAUCCUGGAGCUCAACUCCAGAACUGCCUUUGAUACUGAGGAUCUUGAGUUCGGGAGAGGUGAGUGGAACUGCGAGUGUAGAGGUGAAAUUCGUAGAUAUUCGCAAGAACACCAGUGGCGAAGGCGGCUCACUGGCCCGAUACUGACGCUGAUGCACGAAAGCUGGGGGAGCAAACAGG